rnacentral:lncRNA from 1 species
ACCUUAGAGAGUUGAGAUAAGAUGAGCUUGAUGACCUUGAGAUACUUGCGAUCAUAGAACACGUGAACUAGGCGGGGUUGAUUCGGCGGAAACCCCUCCGACGCUCACGUCAGACGAGCGGAUAGUAGAAAUGGGUCUGAGAAUACAUGUUGUAGUAUUGCUCAGAUAAUAGGACUUACCUUAAGGAAUGAGUUCAAACUUUUAUUUAUACCUCAUUGAUCGGGCUGAAGUUUAAUUAGUUGAGAUUGUCGGGUCAACACCUUAUUUAAAGGUGAUUGGGCAUCGGUAGUAGUGGUCUUCAAUAUUGGGCUCGUGGCCCAGUAAGUAAAGAAAUUGUAGGCCUAUUAGGCAUAUCAUUAAGCCCC